UUUUGUUUUUUUUUUUUUUGUUUUUUUUUUGGUCUGGUUCCUCCCCGGGACACGUUGCUGCUACACUGGCCUUGUUUAUGUGUCUGUCUCCCCGUGAGCUCACUGAACACAGGAGCCUGGCUUUAUUCAUUCUUGAAUCCUUGUAUCUAGAGCUGCCACACAGGAGGCAUUCAAAAUAAGGUCUGGACUAGCUAUCAAAGGCAAAUAAAAUAAAACUCUAAAGGAAGCACAAAGAAUUCUGUGCAAUCCUAUGAAAUGUUAAGAUUGUUUUCUAGAAAACAUAACCUUGUAUUUCUUUAAAAGGAUUUAAAAGAUCAGUCUGAGUCCUCAGCAGAAAUGACAUUGCAGGGACCGAAGAAGGAACUUCAGGAUGGAAAAUGUAAUUGGCCAGUUUUGUUAGGAGAUAGUGACGCUCUCCCUCUCUAACCAAUCAUAUGCCUGUGCAGUUUCCAGGAAGGAGAGAGCAGAUGAGAAGAGCUCGUGAAAGGCAGAUCCUGGUCCCUCCGGAGAAAGAUCUCCCAAGAGACAGGAAUGCCCCCCACCACACUUCCCAGUUUCAAUCUUUGUCUGUCAGAGGGCUGGACAAAGCCUUCCCAGGGCUCCUCAGACAAAAGCCCUCCUCGGCCUUUCACUCCAGACUUUGGUGGUAAAAACAUGUCUCCCACAAGUGGGCCAAAUUCCAUUUGCCUGACAAAGUUGGAAGCCUUGUCUGUGGCCUAGUGAGGGGCUCUAUUGUCUUCAAGACCCUGAUGAUUGUUGUCCUGAAGGGCAAUUGGGCCACUAGAGCAAAUUCAGUGGAGUCCCUGGGGUAGGUCUGCUGUUAGGAAAGAGGCUCAAGCUCGGUUUGGAAACACUCAUCUUCAUUCUUGUGACACCACAAACCUGCAGUUUUUCUUAUCUCUCCCUUACCAGUUGCUUAAGCCCCAUUAGACAGGUUCACAAUUGCUUAGACACAUGCUGAUUAUUAUCUUUUAGUUUUUUGAGACAGGGUUUCUCUGUGUAGCCUGGCUAUCCUGGACCUCUCUCUGUAGAUCAGGCUAGUCUUAAGCCCCAGGUAUGCACCACCACUGUCUGGCAGUGCAGAUUCUUGGAUGCAUUAUACUUCACCUAAGUGAAGCCUCUAGUAGCCUGCCAAAGAGCUUUGUGUUGCUUGGGAUUUUAAUUGGAUGCUUGGGUAAGGAUGUGAGCAUGCCUAUCUAGUGUGAGUGGCAAGAUGCCAACGAAGGCAGGCUUGGCACCGAGGCUCAGUGUCUUGAUAAACUCAUAAUAAGUUAAACAAUAUGGUAAGUUAAACCAACCAACAUUGCAGCCAUGACCCGCCUACUUUAAAUGUGUUCUGAACACCUACGGCGGCCUACAGUUGGUCAAAAUUAUCUAGCACAAAGCCUGUGUUGUAACAGAAUGCUUAGUGCCUCAUAGAAUUUACUGAAUGCUGGUAUGUAGAAGUCUCUGCAUUGCAGAAUGUUGGUUUUCUCUAGUGAUAACAGGGAGCCAUGACUUUGCGCCACUGCCAAGCAUUGAAAAACAGUAUUGCCAUACGACACAUCACUAGCCUUGAGAAAGAUCAAAAUUCAAAAUUACACGUAGGACUUCCUGCUGAGUUUCAGUUGUAUUCAUACCAUGGUAACAAAUCAUCCCAGUCCGGGGCAUGAUUGCUGAUAGUGACGUGAAGACAGUUGGCUGUGGGCCAGAUCUGCUAGUUUCUAACUGUGUGACUUGGGGAGUCUUGCCACCCCUUGGAUCCUCCAUAUCCUCAUCUCUUAGAUGAAGACAAUAAUCUGUCUAGAUGAAAUGAUGUAAUGCAUAAAAUCUCUAGCGCAGUGCUCUGCACACAGUAAGGACCUAAAUGAUGUGAUCUGGUUUUUAUUAAUAAUCACAAAAAUGCAGGCUCUGCAGUCUAAGAGAUCUGGACUCAAGUUCCAAUUCUACCAUUUAUUAAUUAUGGGAAAGUUUGUCCUCUCUGUGUUCAGUUUCUUGCUUUGAAGAGGCACAGAGAUGCAGAUACACGGGGAUAUAGCUGUAGAACACCAGGCCAGAACAGACAUAUGGUAGAUGCUCAAUACACUGUAUCGUCGUUCAGAAGACAUUUACAGACGAGGGCGACCCAUAGCUAACUCAGUGAAUAGCUUUCUGUGACUUUCAUUAUGACCUUAAUCUGGGGAGGAGCGACUAGAUUUGGCCUUGAGGUCACUGGAGUUCAGCACCCUCUGCCCCCUCUGCUCCAACCUCACUGAUCUUUUACUGCCCUGAACAUUUCACAGCUUAGUCUAGAACCAGCUCAGGCUGAGCCCUCAGGAAGAAAUAGACAGAGAACCAGUUGAGGUCUGGUCUGCAUCUCUAGCCUGUAGGGCACCUGCCUUGAAGCCAGCAGAUGGGUCAUGUAGCCCUUAAAGAUAAAACAGUGCCUCUUGGACGUCUCUGUCUCUCUUCAUGGUCUUAAAAUUGUGUAUGAUCCACUAGGAUAAUGGUUCUCAACCUGUAGGUCAAGGUUCCUUUGGGGGUCGAACAACCCAUUCACAGGGGUCACCUGGGACCAUCAGAAAACACAGGUAUUUAUGUUACUAUUCAUAACAGUAGCAAAAUUACAGUUAGGAAGUAGCAACAAAAUAAUUUUAUGGUUGUAGGUCAGCAUAACAUGGGGAGCCGUAUUAAAGGGUCACAGCACCAGGGAGGUUGAGACCCACUGUGCUAGG
rnacentral:lncRNA from 1 species